rnacentral:rRNA from 1 species
AUUGAACGCUGGCGGCAGGCCUAACACAUGCAAGUCGAGCGGAUGAAGGGUGCUUGCUCCUGGUUUCAGCGGCGGACGGGUGAGUAAUGCCUAGGAAUCUGCCUGGUAGUGGGUGAUAACGUCCGGAAACGGGCGCUAAUACCGCAUACGUCCUGAGGGAGAAAGUGGGGGAUCUUCGGACCUUACGCUAUCAGAUGAGCCUAGGUCGGAUUAGCUAGUUGGUGGGGUAAAGGCCUACCAAGGCGACGAUCCGUAACUGGUCUGAGAGGAUGAUCAGUCACACUGGAACUGAGACACGGUCCAGACUCCUACGGGAGGCAGCAGUGGGGAAUAUUGGACAAUGGGCGAAAGCCUGAUCCAGCCAUGCCGCGUGUGUGAAGAAGGUCUUCGGAUUGUAAAGCACUUUAAGUUGGGAAGAAGGGCAGUAAGUUAAUACCUUGCUGUUUUGACGUUACCAACAGAAUAAGCACCGGCUAACUUCGUG